CGGUGUUCAACUGGCGUGUCCGCGGGACGUCCUGCCGGUGGGCUUAGCCCGCAAGGGCGGCCCAACUUCAAAUCCCAUCGCGGUGCUCUUCACUGAGUGUCGAGGUGGGCCGGCACGUUUACUUUGAACAAAUUAGAGUGCUUAAAGCAGGCUAAAACUUCGCCUGAAUACUGUGUGCAUGGAAUAAUGGAAUAGGACCUCGGUUCUAUUUUGUUGGUUUUCGGAACCCCGAGGUAAUGAUUAAUAGGAACGGAUGGGGGCAUUCGUAUUGCGACGUUAGAGGUGAAAUUCUUGGAUCGUCGCAAGACGGACAGAAGCGAAAGCAUUUGCCAAAAACGCUUUCAUUGAUCAAGAACGAAAGUUAGAGGUUCGAAGGCGAUCAGAUACCGCCCUAGUUCUAACCAUAAACGAUGCCAGCUAGCGAUCCGUCGACGUUCCUCCGAUGACUCGACGGGCAGCUUCCGGGAAACCAAAGCUUUUGGGUUCCGGGGGAAGUAUGGUUGCAAAGCCGAAACUUAAAGGAAUUGACGGAAGGGCACCACCAGGAGUGGAGCCUGCGGCUUAAUUUGACUCAACACGGGAAACCUCACCAGGCCCGGACACCGGAAGGAUUGACAGAUUGAGAGCUCUUUCUUGAUUCGGUGGGUGGUGGUGCAUGGCCGUUCUUAGUUGGUGGAGCGAUUUGUCUGGUUAAUUCCGAUAACGAACGAGACUCUAGCCUGCUAACUAGGCGUAUUUUCGACAUCUCAAAGGUCCGUCGUCCCGGCCCUCGGGUCGUGGGCGUGCGCGAUUUUUACUGUCGGCGUACUAUCAAUUCUUCUUAGAGGGACAGGUGGCUUCUAGCCGCACGAGAUUGAGCAAUAACAGGUCUGUGAUG
rnacentral:rRNA from 1 species